GAUGAACGCUGGCGGCGUGCCUAAUACAUGCAAGUCGAGCGAACGGACGAGAAGCUUGCUUCUCUGAUGUUAGCGGCGGACGGGUGAGUAACACGUGGAUAACCUACCUAUAAGACUGGGAUAACUUCGGGAAACCGGAGCUAAUACCGGAUAAUAUUUUGAACCGCAUGGUUCAAAAGUGAAAGACGGUCUUGCUGUCACUUAUAGAUGGAUCCGCGCUGCAUUAGCUAGUUGGUAAGGUAACGGCUUACCAAGGCAACGAUGCAUAGCCGACCUGAGGGGGUGAUCGGCCACACUGGAACUGAGACACGGUCCAGACUCCUACGGGAGGCAGCAGUAGGGAAUCUUCCGCAAUGGGCGAAAGCCUGACGGAGCAACGCCGCGUGAGUGAUGAAGGUCUUCGGAUCGUAAAACUCUGUUAUUAGGGAAGAACAUAUGUGUAAGUAACUGUGCACAUCUUGACGGUACCUAAUCAGAAAGCCACGGCUAACUACGUGCCAGCAGCCGCGGUAAUACGUAGGUGGCAAGCGUUAUCCGGAAUUAUUGGGCGUAAAGCGCGCGUAGGCGGUUUUUUAAGUCUGAUGUGAAAGCCCACGGCUCAACCGUGGAGGGUCAUUGGAAACUGGAAAACUUGAGUGCAGAAGAGGAAAGUGGAAUUCCAUGUGUAGCGGUGAAAUGCUCAGAGAUAUGGAGGAACACCAGUGGCGAAGGCGACUUUCUGGUCUGUAACUGACGCUGAUGUGCGAAAGCGUGGGGAUCAAACAGGAUUAGAUACCCUGGUAGUCCACGCCGUAAACGAUGAGUGCUAAGUGUUAGGGGGUUUCCGCCCCUUAGUGCUGCAGCUAACGCAUUAAGCACUCCGCCUGGGGAGUACGACCGCAAGGCUGAAACUCAAAGGAAUUGACGGGGACCCGCACAAGCGGUGGAGCAUGUGGUUUAAUUCGAAGCAACGCGAAGAACCUUACCAAAUCUUGACAUCCUUUGACAACUCUAGAGAUAGAGCCUUCCCCUUCGGGGGACAAAGUGACAGGUGGUGCAUGGUUGUCGUCAGCUCGUGUCGUGAGAUGUUGGGUUAAGUCCCGCAACGAGCGCAACCCUUAAGCUUAGUUGCCAUCAUUAAGUUGGGCACUCUAAGUUGACUGCCGGUGACAAACCGGAGGAAGGUGGGGAUGACGUCAAAUCAUCAUGCCCCUUAUGAUUUGGGCUACACACGUGCUACAAUGGACAAUACAAAGGGCAGCGAAACCGCGAGGUCAAGCAAAUCCCAUAAAGUUGUUCUCAGUUCGGAUUGUAGUCUGCAACUCGACUACAUGAAGCUGGAAUCGCUAGUAAUCGUAGAUCAGCAUGCUACGGUGAAUACGUUCCCGGGUCU
rnacentral:rRNA from 1 species